UACAGAGGUCUCAAGCGUUGUUCGGAUUCAUUGGGCGUAAAGGGCGCGUAGGUGGCGCUGUAAGUCAGGUGUGAAAUUUCGGAGCUUAACUCCGAAACUGCAUUUGAUACUGCGGUGCUUGAGGACUGGAGAGGAGAUUGGAAUUCACGGUGUAGCAGUGAAAUGCGUAGAUAUCGUGAGGAAGACCAGUGGCGAAGGCGGAUCUCUGGACAGUUCCUGACACUGAGGCACGAAGGCUAGGGGAGCAAACGGG
rnacentral:rRNA from 1 species